UGAUGAAUUUUGGACAAUGGGCGCAAGCCUGAUCCAGCCAUGCCGCGUGCGGGAAGAAGGCCUUCGGGUUGUAAACCGCCUUUGUCAGGGAAGAAAUCCUUUGAGCUAAUACCUCGGGGGGAUGACGGUACCUGAAGAAUAAGCACCGGCUAACUACGUGCCAGUAGCCGCGGUAAUACGUAGGGUGCAAGCGUUAAUCGGAAUUACUGGGCGUAAAGCGUGCGCAGGCGGUUAUGCACGACAGAUGUGAAAUCCCCGGGCUUAACCUGGGAACUGCGUUUGUGACUGCGAGACUUGAGUGCGGCAGAGGGGGGUGGAAUUCCACGUGUAGCAGUGAAAUGCGUAGAUAUGCGGAGGAACACCGAUGGCGAAGGCAAUCCCCUGGGCCUGCACUGACGCUCAUGCACGAAAGCGUGGGGAGCAAACA
rnacentral:rRNA from 1 species